rnacentral:rRNA from 1 species
ACGAACCGUCCAAACGUUAUUCGGAAUCACUGGGCUUAAAGGGUGCGUAGGCGGCUCGGUAAGUUAGGUGUGAAAUACCUCGGCUCAACCGAGGAAUUGCGCUUAAGACUGCCGGGCUUGAGGGAGACAGAGGUGAGCGGAACUUAGGGUGGAGCGGUGAAAUGCGUUGAUAUCCUAAGGAACACCGGUGGCGAAAGCGGCUCACUGGGUCUCUUCUGACGCUGAGGCACGAAAGCUAGGGGAGCGAACGG